rnacentral:rRNA from 1 species
GGGUGGAUUAGUGGCGAACGGGUGAGUAACACGUGAGUAACCUGCCCUUAACUCUGGGAUAAGCCUGGGAAACUGGGUCUAAUACCGGAUAGGAGCGUCCACCGCAUGGUGGGUGUUGGAAAGAUUUAUCGGUUUUGGAUGGACUCGCGGCCUAUCAGCUUGUUGGUGAGGUAAUGGCUCACCAGGGCGACGACGGGUAGCCGGCCUGAGAGGGUGACCGGCCACACUGGGACUGAGACACGGCCCAGACUCCUACGGGAGGCAGCAGUGGGGAAUAUUGCACAAUGGGCGCAAGCCUGAUGCAGCGACGCCGCGUGAGGGAUGACGGNCUUCGGGUUGUAACCUCUUUCGUAGGGAAGAAGCGAAGUGACGGUCCUGCAAAGAACACCGGCUACUACGUGCCACAGCCGCGGUAANACGUAGGGUGCGAGCGUUAUCCGGAAUUAUUGGGCGUAAAGAGCUCGUAGGCGGUUUGUCGCGUCUGUCGUGAAAGUCCGGGGCUUAACCCCGGAUCUGCGGUGGGUACGGGCAGACUAGAGUGCAGUAGGGGAGACUGGAAUUCCUGGUGUAGCGGUGGAAUGCGCAGAUAUCAAGAAGAACCACCGAUGGCGAAGGCAGGUCUCUGGGCUGUAACUGACGCUGAGGAGCGAAAGCAUGGGGAGCGAACAGGAUUAGAUACCCUGGUAGUCCAUGCCGUANACGUUGGGCACUAGGUGUGGGGACCAUUCCACGGUUUCCGCGCCGCA